rnacentral:lncRNA from 1 species
GUCCUGUGCUGCAGAGCUGACUGUCACUGAAAACAAGCAAUGGAGGAAGUUUAUGUCAAUGGGGAAUUUUCCAAAUCUUACAACUCAGUAGCUUCAACUAAUAAUUACAUCGGUGAGAAUGAAGUGACAAAAAAAGUGACCAGAUAUAUUUGUAACAUCUGUCAGGAUUGUUGUAUACACUGUUAUUUUCACUGUUUGUUUUUCAUUUCAGGUCCAAGGAGCUCUAAGAGGAGUUUCUCUUCACCCAUUAUUCUCUCUUUGGGCCUUCUGAACAUUUUCCUGUUGGUUGGACUCAUCACCCUCAGUGUCUACUUGCACGGUUCAGCUACAAGUGUCUCUGCCACUAGCAGCAACAUUUCCUCCAUGACUGAAGACGGAAACCAUCUGAAGGCAAAUCUUUCCACUGUCAGAAACAAACUUUCCUCCAUGACUGAGGAGAGAGACCUUCUGCAUACCCGUCUCACUGAAAAGACCAAAGAGCUGGAAAGACUUCAGAGUUUGUCCAAACAGAGUGAGUCCUUGUAUUUCCUGUUGAGAUUGAUUUGUUUUGUGUCUUUGUAAAAGUUUUCACUGUGAAAUGCAGUUAUUCAGUUUUCCAACAUUGUGAUAAGAUCUUUGACUC